GUGUACUUGGGGGAAAUCAUAGUUGAAAAUUAAAAGAACAGAGUUUUUUAUUUUUGUCCUGGGAAAUACAUUUCUACUUAAUAUCAACAAUGACACGUGAUACAAAUUAUUGCCUCUGCAACUGUUCCCAUUAGACUCUGAGGUUAUCGCUGUCAGAAAGUGUGUGGAAACCGUCAGGCUGCCUUAAGGGAACGCCCAGACUUGUACCACGAGAAUCAUAAACUUUUCCAAAUGAAAAUUACACGCUCACAUGUCAUAAUUAAGCCUAUCUUUAGGGGCUGAGUGAAAAAGAAGGCUCAGCUUUUCACUUUAUAAUUGGCCGUUUGAAAUUCCAGUAAGUGUUUAACGCUCAGAGGGAGACACAAUUCCCAGUAUUACUCCGGAAUAAAUGACUUCAAUCUUUAAACAUCCUAAACUUAGACUGAGAAUGCUUCAGCCCCUGCGUUUUCCAGACGUCAGAACCUUUGAUCAUCCCCAGCCUCCUGCUACCGCCCCUGGCUAUUCUCAGGGGUUGGUAUGGAUUUCAAGCCUGUGAGCUUCUCUUGGAAGCUCAUUCUGGGUCCCAGGCAUGGAAACAACUUUGAGGCAACAUUCUCUCUGACGCCUUACUAACUUUCGGCUGUCAGAUCCCCUCUGCCUGUUUCGCCUCAAUUUUGCACUCUAAAAUUAUGAAAAUAAAAUAUGCUCAUCACAAUAUGAUUCAAAUAUUACAGAAACCUAUAUAGAGCCCCUUCCCAUCCAUCCUAAUGAAGGCACGGUGUGAGCAGAUCACAAUAUGUCCUGUAGACAUUUUUAGUGCACUAAUAAAUAUUCUUACACAGUUUUAUUUUUA
rnacentral:lncRNA from 1 species